rnacentral:rRNA from 1 species
UACGUAGGUGGCAAGCGUUGUCCGGAUUUAUUGGGCGUAAAGCGAGCGCAGGCGGUUUCUUAAGUCUGAUGUGAAAGCCCCCGGCUUAACCGGGGAGGGUCAUUGGAAACUGGGAGACUUGAGUGCAGAAGAGGAAAGCGGAAUUCCAUGUGUAGCGGUGAAAUGCGUAGAUAUAUGGAGGAACACCAGUGGCGAAGGCGGCUUUCUGGACUGUAACUGACGCUGAGGUACGAAAGCGUGGGUAGCAAACAGG